CCUACGGGAGGCAGCAGUGGGGAAUAUUGCACAAUGGGGGAAACCCUGAUGCAGCGACGCCGCGUGAGUGAAGAAGUAAUACGGUAUGUAAAGCUCUAUCAGCAGGGAAGAAAAUGACGGUACCUGAGUAAGAAGCCCCGGCUAACUACGUGCCAGCAGCCGCGGUAAUACGUAGGGGGCAAGCGUUAUCCGGAUUUACUGGGUGUAAAGGGAGCGUAGACGGCAGUGCAAGUCUGGAGGGAAAGGCGGGGGCUCAACCCCCGGACUGCUCUGGAAACUGUACGGCUGGAGUGCAGGAGAGGUAAGUGGAAUGCCUGGUGUAGCGGUGAAAUGCGUAGAUAUUAGGAGGAACACCAGUGGCGAAGGCGGCUUACUGGACUGUAACUGACGUUGAGGCUCGAAAGCGUGGGGAGCAAACAGGAUUAGAUACCCUUGUAGUC
rnacentral:rRNA from 1 species